UACAGGGGGGGCAAGCGUUGUUCGGAAUUACUGGGCGUAAAGGGUUCGUAGGUGGCCAACUAAGUCAGACGUGAAAUCCCUCAGCUUAACUGGGGAACUGCGUCUGAUACUGGAUGGCUUGAGUGCAGGAGAGGAACGCGGAAUUCCCAGUGUAGAGGUGAAAUUCGUAGAUAUUGGGAAGAACACCGGUGGCGAAGGCGGCGCUCUGGACCGAUACUGACGCUGAGGCGCGAAAGCGUGGGGAGCAAACAGG
rnacentral:rRNA from 1 species